CCUACGGGGUGCUGCAGUGGGGGAUAUUGCACAAUGGGGGGAACCCUGAUGCAGCGACGCCGCGUGGGUGAAGAAGCGCCUCGGCGCGUAAAGCCCUGUCAGCAGGGAAGAAAAUGACGGUACCUGAAGAAGAAGCCCCGGCUAACUACGUGCCAGCAGCCGCGGUAAUACGGAGGAUGCGAGCGUUAUCCGGAUUUAUUGGGUUUAAAGGGUGCGUAGGCGGGCUGUUAAGUCAGCGGUCAAAUGUCGGGACUCAACCCCGGCCUGCCGUUGAAACUGGCGGCCUCGAGUGGGCGAGAAGUAUGCGGAAUGCGUGGUGUAGCGGUGAAAUGCAUAGAUAUCACGCAGAACUCCGAUUGCGAAGGCAGCAUACCGGCGCCCGACUGACGCUGAGGCACGAAAGCGUGGGUAUCGAACAGGAUUAGAUACCCCAGUAGUC
rnacentral:rRNA from 1 species